rnacentral:lncRNA from 1 species
UGCGUCUGUCCUCAGGAAUCCUAUGAAAUGCUGAGUGGCGAGGAGAGCCUCUGUUAUGAUCUUCAGAACAGAUGGGUGGUUACUUCAGACUUUCCAGGGACCUUCUAACCUUACUCACCUUAUACAACAAAGAGCUCUCCGGGAAGAUUUUUCUUCAUGGUGAACUCACACUGGAGCUGGACUCUGCCCUGCUGUUUCCUUCAUGUGCUGCUCAAAGCUCUUCUUAUGGGUCACUGGAAUGUCAAGUAUCACUGCCUGGCC